UAGCUCUCUGCCAUCACACUGGUCUACUCAAUGGGCAGAACCAUAUGCUCUAAUCCGGGCCCUCCAGCUGUCAAAAGGUCAAUGUUGCCCCUGGACAUAAAGAAAAACCUCCAGGAAUCCAGUUAAAAGGCACUCUACCCUUUGAAUAUUUAGAAGUGGACUUUACUGAGAUGAAACCCUGCCGACACUAUCGUUAUUUACCGGUCAUGCUAUGUACCUUCUCAGGAUGGUUGGAGGCUUUCCCCACCUGAACGGAAAAAGCAAAGAAAGUGGCUCAGUGUCUGCUUUGAGAAUUAGUCCCCAGAUUCAGGUUCCCAACGAGUACAGGAUCAGACAACAGCCGUGCAUUUGUAGCUGACUUAAUUCAACAGAUCCACCACACGAGCGUGAGAAGAGCAUACCAUGCAGACCCAGAGGACGCCGAAUGGACUACACAGAAGGACCCUACUGAUCCCUGUGAAACCAUUCAUCCUAAAGAAAAAGAAGAGAUGAAGCUCUACAAUCAACUGCUGCUUCAAGGACUUGCUGGUAUUCUCUUGAGACUAGCUAUAGUUUCAGCACAAGACAACGUUUUCAUUUCAUGGGUACAUUCUUAUGCUGACUUCCAUAAAAAAACUAACUGCUGGGUGUGUGGAGCCAUGCCCACGUCUGUCACGGGUGGAUUCCCAUGAGGCUGACUUCAUUUACCCGAAUAUAUACCAGGAAACCUAAAAUGCAGUACAUCCCAAUGAGUGAUGUUCAGACUGGAAGUUGAGAGAAUCAAGAGGGGGGAAUGAAGGAGGAAAUGAACAGGCCAAGCUGACUCCAUUUUGAAAAAGAAGGAAACGCCAUCUUACAUUCCCAGUGAACUUUGGACUAUACGCCUGCUCGCAUUUUCAGUGAACUUUGGACUAUGUGCUUAGGAGCCAUGGAAAUAACAUACCUAUGGCCAAAAAGACCUCUUGAACUGAUAAACACCAGAUUCCAUACCAAGAUUUCCCAUCGCCAGAAAGAAUGGAAUAAUCCCUGUGUAGUCAAUCACCUUUGUAAUCUUGAUGGCGCCCAUUGGUGUAUGCUACAAUGUAUAACCAGCUGACCCUUCUGAUUAUGAAUCAUGUCUGUAACCUGAUUGCAUCUCCCUUUAACAUUUUCCAGGCUAAGUGUAAAGAAUUUGGGGAUGGAGGCUUGAGCAUGUACAGUUAAGGUAUAUAAGG